GAUGAACGCUGGCGGCGUGCCUAAUACAUGCGAGUCGAGCGAACGGACGAGAAGCUUGCUUCUCUGAUGUUAGCGGCGGACGGGUGAGUAACACGUGGAUAACCUACCUAUAAGACUGGGAUAACUUCGGGAAACCGUAGCUAAUACCGGAUAAUAUUUUGAACCGCAUGGUUCAAAAGUGAAAGACGGUCUUGCUGUCACUUAUAGAUGGAUCCGCGCUGCAUUAGCUAGUUGGUAAGGUAACGGCUUACCAAGGCAACGAUGCAUAGCCGACCUGAGAGGGUGUUCGGCCACACUGGAACUGAGACACGGUCCAGACUCCUACGGGAGGCAGCAGUAGGGAAUCUUCCGCAAUGGGCGAAAGCCUGACGGAGCAACGCCGCGUGAGUGAUGAAGGUCUUCGGAUCGUAAAACUCUGUUAUUAGGGAAGAACAUAUGUGUAAGUAACUGUGCACAUCUUGACGGUACCUAAUCAGAAAGCCACGGCUAACUACGUG
rnacentral:rRNA from 1 species